rnacentral:rRNA from 1 species
UACGUAGGGUGCGAGCGUUGUCCGGAAUUAUUGGGCGUAAAGGGCUCGUAGGCGGUCUGUCGCGUCGGUAGUGAAAACUCAGGGCUUAACCCUGAGCCUGCUUCCGAUACGGGCAGACUAGAGGUAUGCAGGGGAGAAUGGAAUUCCUGGUGUAGCGGUGAAAUGCGCAGAUAUCAGGAGGAACACCAGUGGCGAAGGCGGUUCUCUGGGCAUUACCUGACGCUGAGGAGCGAAAGUGUGGGGAGCGAACAGG